rnacentral:rRNA from 1 species
GUCGCACGGACCCUUCGGGGUGAGUGGCGGACGGGUGAGUAUCGCGUAGGGAUCUAUCCAUGGGUGGGGGAUAACAUCGGGAAACUGGUGCUAAUACCGCAUGAUACCUGAGGGUCAAAGGCGCAAGUCGCCUGUGGAGGAGCCUGCGUUCGAUUAGCUUGUUGGUGGGGUAAAGGCCUACCAAGGCGAUGAUCGAUAGCUGGUCUGAGAGGAUGAUCAGCCACACUGGGACUGAGACACGGCCCAGACUCCUACGGGAGGCAGCAGUGGGGAAUAUUGGACAAUGGGCGAAAGCCUGAUCCAGCAAUGCCGCGUGUGUGAAGAAGGUCUUCGGAUUGUAAAGCACUUUCGACGGGGACGAUGAUGACGGUACCCGUAGAAGAAGCCCCGGCUAACUUCGUGCCAGCAGCCGCGGUAAUACGAAGGGGGCUAGCGUUGCUCGGAAUGACUGGGCGUAAAGGGCGCGUAGGCGGUUUACACAGUCAGAUGUGAAAUUCCAGGGCUUAACCUUGGGGCUGCAUUUGAUACGUGUAGACUAGAGUGUGAGAGAGGGUUGUGGAAUUCCCAGUGUAGAGGUGAAAUUCGUAGAUAUUGGG